UACGGGGGGGGCAAGCGUUGUUCGGAAUUACUGGGCGUAAAGGGCUCGUAGGCGGCCAACUAAGUCAGACGUUAAAUCCCUCGGCUUAACCGGGGAACUGCAUCUGAUACUGGAUGGCUUGAGUUCGGGAGAGGGAUGCGGAAUUCCAGGUGUAGCGGUGAAAUGCGUAGAUAUCUGGAGGAACACCGGUGGCGAAGGCGGCAUCCUGGACCGACACUGACGCUGAGGAGCGAAAGCCAGGGGAGCAAACGGG
rnacentral:rRNA from 1 species